UACGUAGGGGGCAAGCGUUGUCCGGAAUCAUUGGGCGUAAAGAGCGCGUAGGCGGUCCGGUAAGUCCGCUCUGAAAGUCCGGGGCUCAACCCCGGGAGGCGGGCGGAUACUGUCGGGCUAGAGUCCGGAAGAGGCGAGUGGAAUUCCUGGUGUAGCGGUGAAAUGCGCAGAUAUCAGGAGGAACACCAAUGGCGAAGGCAGCUCGCUGGGCAGUAACUGACGCUGAGGAGCGAAAGCGUGGGGAGCGAACAGG
rnacentral:rRNA from 1 species